GACGAACGCUGGCGGCGUGCUUAACACAUGCAAGUCGAACGGAAAGGCCCUGCUUGCAGGGUACUCGAGUGGCGAACGGGUGAGUAACACGUGGGUGAUCUGCCCUGCACUUCGGGAUAAGCCUGGGAAACUGGGUCUAAUACCGGAUAUGACCUUCCAUGUAGUGUGGGGGGUGGAAAGAUUUAUCGGUGUGGGAUGAGCCCGCGGCCUAUCAGCUUGUUGGUGGGGUAAUGGCCUACCAAGGCGUCGACGGGUAGCCGGCCUGAGAGGGUGGACGGCCACAUUGGGACUGAGAUACGGCCCAGUCUCCUACGGGAGGCAGCAGUGGGGAAUAUUGCACAAUGGGCGGAAGCCUUAUGCAGCGACGCCGCGUGGGGGAUGACGGCCUUCGGGUUGUAAACCUCUUUCGACAGGGACGAAGCUUCGGUGACGGUACCUGUAUAAGAAGCACCGGCUAACUACGUG
rnacentral:rRNA from 1 species